UUUAAUUAAGUCCCAUUUAUUUAUUUUUGUUUUUAUUGUCCUUACUCUAAGAGGUGAAUCUGAGAAGAUAUUGCUGUGGUUUAUGUCAUAGAGUGUUUGGCCUAUGUUUUCCUCUAAGAGUUUUAUAUGUCUGGUCUUAUAUCUAGGUCUUUAAUCCAUUUGGAGUUUAUUUUUGUGUAUGGUGUUAGGGAAUGUUCUAAUUUCCUUCUUUUCCAUGUGGCUGUCCAGUUUUCCCAGCACUACUUAUUGAACAAGCUGUCCUUUCUUCAUUGUAUAUUCUUGCCUCCUUUGUCAUAGAUUAGUUGGCUGUAGGUACGUGGGUUUAAUUCUGGGCUUUCUAUCCUGUUCCACUGAUCUAUAUGUCUGUCUUUGUGCCAGUACCAUGCAGUUUUGAUGACUGUUGCUUUGUAGUAUAGUCUGAAGUCCGGGAGCCUGAUUUCUCCAGCUCCAUUUUUCUUUUUCAGGAUGUCUUUGGCUAUUCUGGGUCUUUUGUACUUCCAAGCAAAGUUUAAAAUAUUUUGUUCAAGUUCUGUGAAAACUGUCCAUGGUAAUUUGAUAGGGAUUGCAUUGAAUCUGUAGAUUGCCUUGGGUAUAUAGUCAUUUUGAUAAUAUUGACUCUUCCAAUCCAAGAGCAUGGUAUGUCUUUCCAUCUGUUUGUGUCAUCACUGAUUUCUUUCAUCAGUGUCUUGUAGUUUUCAGAGAACAGGUCUUUUGUCUCUUUAGGUAGGUUUACUCCUAAAUAUUUUAUUCUUUUGGAUGUAAUGGUAAAUGGGAUUGCUUCCCUAAUUUCUCUGUCUGAUCUUUCAUUGUUAGUAUGUAGAAAUGCCAUUGAUUUCUGUGUAUUAAUUUUGUAUCCUGCAACUUUGCCAAAUUCAUUGAUGAGCUCUAACAGUUUUCUGGUAGAGUCUUUAGGAUUCUCUAGGUAUAGUAUGUCAUCUGCAAAUAGUGAUAGUUUUACUUCUUCCUUUCCAAUUUGGAUUCUUUUAUCUCUUUUACUUCUCUGAUUGCUGUGGCUAGGACUUCCAAAACUAUGUUGAAGAGUAGUGGCAAGAGUGGACAUCCUUGUCUUAUUCUUGGUCUCAGUGGGAAUUCUUUCAGGUUUUCACCAUUGAGAAUGAUGUUCACUAUGGGUUUGUCAUAUUUGGUCUUUAUUAUGUUGAGGUAAUUUCCCUCUAUGCCCACUUUCUGAAGGGUUUUUAUCAGAAAUGGGUGUUGGAUUUUGUCAAAGGCUUUUUCUGCAUCUAUGGAGAGGAUCACAUGGUUUUUAUUCUUUAGUUUGUUCAUGUGGUAUAUCACACUGAUUGAUUUGUGGAUAUUGAAGAAUCCUUGCAUCCCUGGGAUAAAUCCCAGAAUACAAUCCUUCUAAUGUAUUGUUGGAUGUGGUUUGCUAGUAUUUUGUUGAGGAUUUUUGCAUCAAUGUUCAUCAGUGAUAUUGGCCUGUAAUUUUCUUUUUUUGUGGAAUCUUUGUCUGGUUUUGGUAUCAGGGUGAUGACGGCCUCAUAGGAGGAGUUUGGGAGUAUCCCUUCCUCUGCAAUUGUUUGAAAUAGUUUCAGAAGGAUAGGUAUUAGCUCUUCUCUAAAUGUUUGAUAGAAUUCGCCUGUGAAGCCAUCUGGUCCUGGACUUUGUUGGAAGUUUUUUAAUCACAGUUUCAAUUUCAGUUCUUGUGAUUGGUCUGUUCAUCUUUUCUAUUUCAUCUUGGUUUAGUCUUGGGAGAUUGUACCUUUCUAAGAAUUUGUCCAUUUCUUCUAGGUUUUCCAUUUUAUUGGCAUAUAGUUGCAUAUAGUAGUCUCAUGAUCCAUGUAUUUCUGUGAUGUUCGUUGUUACUUCUCCUUUUUCAUUUCUAAUUUUAUUGAUUUAAGUCCUCUCUCUGUUUUUUUUUGAGAAAUCUGGUUAAGGGUUUAUCAAUUUUGUUGAACUUUUCAAAGAACCAGCUUUUUGUUUCAUUGAUCUUUUCUGUGGUUUUCUUCAUUUCUAUUUCAUUGAUUUCUGCUCUGUUCUUUAUGAUUUCUUUCCUUCUACUAACUUUAGGUCUUGUCUGUUCUCUCUCUAGGUGCUUUAGAUAUAGAGUUCGCUUGUUUAUUUGAGCUUUUCCUUGUUUCCUGAGGUGGGCUUGUAUUGCUAUGAACUUUCCUCUUAGAACGGCUUUUGCUGCUUCCCAUAGGUUUUGGAGUGUCGUAUCUUCAUUGUCAUUUGCUGCUAGGUAUUUUUUAAUUUCCUCUUUGAUUUAUUCAGUGAUCCAUUGGUUGUUUAGUAGCAUGUUGUUGAGACUCCAUGUGUUUGUGUUUUUUGCAGUUUUUUUCUUCUUGUUGAUUUCCAGUCAUAUAGCAUUGUGGUCAGAAAACAUGCUUGAUAUGAUUUCAAUUUUCUUAAAGUUACUGAGGUUGGAGUUGUAGCCCAGGAUGUGAUAAAUCUUAGAGAAUGUUCAAUGUGCACUUGAGAAGAAUGUGUGUUCUGUUGCUUUUGGAUGGAAUGU
rnacentral:lncRNA from 1 species